ACGAACGCUGGCGGCGUGCUUAACACAUGCACGUCGAACGGAAAGGCCCUUCGGGGUACUCGAGUGGCGAACGGGUGAGUAACACGUGGGUGAUCUGCCCUGCACUUUGGGAUAAGCCUGGGAAACUGGGUCUAAUACCGAAUAGGACCACGCGCUUCAUGGUGUGUGGUGGAAAGCUUUUGCGGUGUGGGAUGGGCCCGCGGCCUAUCAGCUUGUUGGUGGGGUAAUGGCCUACCAAGGCGACGACGGGUAGCCGGCCUGAGAGGGUGACCGGCCACACUGGGACUGAGAUACGGCCCAGACUCCUACGGGAGGCAGCAGUGGGGAAUAUUGCACAAUGGGCGCAAGCCUGAUGCAGCGACGCCGCGUGAGGGAUGACGGCCUUCGGGUUGUAAACCUCUUUCAAUAGGGACGAAGCGCAAGUGACGGUACCUAUAGAAGAAGCACCGGCCAACUACGUG
rnacentral:rRNA from 1 species